rnacentral:rRNA from 1 species
AGGAAUACCGAUGGCGAAGGCAGCCAUCUGGCCUAAUACUGACGCUGAGGUACGAAAGCAUGGGGAGCAAACAGGAUUAGAUACCCUGGUAGUCCAUGCCGUAAACGAUGUCUACUAGCCGUUGGGGCCUUUGAGGCUUUAGUGGCGCAGCUAACGCGAUAAGUAGACCGCCUGGGGAGUACGGUCGCAAGACUAAAACUCAAAUGAAUUGACGGGGGCCCGCACAAGCGGUGGAGCAUGUGGUUUAAUUCGAUGCAACGCGAAGAACCUUACCUGGCCUUGACAUACUAAGAACUUUCCAGAGAUGGAUUGGUGCCUUCGGGAACUUAGAUACAGGUGCUGCAUGGCUGUCGUCAGCUCGUGUCGUGAGAUGUUGGGUUAAGUCCCGCAACGAGCGCAACCCUUUUCCUUAUUUGCCAGCGGGUAAUGCCGGGAACUUUAAGGAUACUGCCAGUGACAAACUGGAGGAAGGCGGGGACGACGUCAAGUCAUCAUGGUCCUUACGGCCAGGGCUACACACGUGCUACAAUGGUCGGUACAAAGGGUUGCUACCUCGCGAGAGGAUGCUAAUCUCAAAAAGCCGAUCGUAGUCCGGAUCGCAGUCUGCAACUCGACUGCGUGAAGUCGGAAUCGCUAGUAAUCGCGGAUCAGAAUGCCGCGGUGAAUACGUUCCCGGGCCUUGUACACACCGCCCGUCACACCAUGGGAGUUUGUUGCACCAGAAGUAGGUAGUCUAACCGCAAGGAGGACGCUUACCACGGUGUGGCCGAUGACUGGGGUGAAGUCGUAACAAGGUAACC